UAUGACCAGACUUGUGUUUUAGAAGAAUGGCUUUGGCAGCUGUAUGAGCAAAGGGCUUUCAGGAAGGAAGAACAAAUGCAGGGAGACAAGAGCACAUGCUGUCCCAGGAGAGGUCCAGUUGGGAGGGGCUGGAGAGGUGCUAAGCCAAGAGGAUCCAGGGAGAGCAGAGGCAGCUCAACAAGAAGGGGUGUUAAGGGCCUUGCUCAGAAGAAGGCUGGCUCCGAGGAGCACAGAGCGGUUUGGCUGGAAGAUGAAGAAACCAAGGCACAGACUCAUGUCCAGGACCCUAAAACCAGUGCAUGGUGGAGCCAGCAUUCAAACCCAGCACACGGGACGCCAGAGUCCAUGCUCCUAACCACUACAUUGUGAUGCCUUGAAACUCAUGGCAGAGAAGAGUUUGAGAGAAAGGUUUCAGAAAGACAAAAGUAGAAAUCCUGAAAGACUCUGAGCAUAAAGUUAAUGCUGCAGCAAUAGAUUUAGAAAAAUGAUGCAUGAUGAUCUAAGUGGAAGGUGUGACAUACCCCCAAAGAAAUGCUGAAUUCCCCAGGUAGGGUGGGGAUCCAAACAAAGGGAGACUUGUGCCUCAUUUCCUUAGUGGAACCGAAGGAGCAACAAGCCUCCCCUUGCUCUCUCUCUAUACCUCCACCAGUCACAGGCAGAGAAAGUAAAGGUGGGGCCUGCUGAGCACGUCAGAGCAGAAUGGGCAUGGCAUAGCUCCGUCAAGUCUCCCAGAGCUCCAGAGCAGCACAAAAAGGCAUCCAAAUAUUUCCUGUGCUUCCCUGUCCUCUCACCUCAAGAGGGAUGCAAAAGACAAGGCUGGAGUGACCUCAAGCAGUCUAGCAGUCUUGAAAGUUGUAUGAACUGGAAACACAAGUCCAGAGGAGAACAAGGCCAUCUUGAGGAUACCAGCAAGGAUAGAUCACUAUGCCCGGAAGCCAAUAGGAGCCAUCACAAAUAAACAAGAAUUUCUGAGGACAAAGGUCCCCCUCUUGAUAGACAUCAAAGUAUGAUGACUUAAGGCCCCAGAACUUAGAGGCAACUCAGGGAGAAAAUGGUGGGGGAAAAAAAACUCCGGAACAGACUUAAUAAAUAAUUGACCAAAGGUAGCCUGAGUUGAAUAUGAUUGAAAUUAAGUUCAGUUACAGAAUAAUGUUAUAUUUGUUUUUUGCACAGAGGAUUUUGCAGCCUGAGACUUUUACCUGCUUGGCUAUAAAGAAAUAAAACUUGUUUACCUUUGCAAACAGUACUCUCUCUCUCUCUAUGAAAGCCAAAAGAAUAACUCCAAAAAUGUUUUGAGAAAUAAGAUCAUUAUUGAACUAAGUAUAUGACUUCCCAAAGAGACUACUUUCCAGAGUAACACUCCUUUCUGUAAGUGUCCAUUCUGUUCCAUUUCUUGAAAACAUUAGUCUCACUAGUUCAAACUGGUAUUCAUACUACAGACCUGGUCCUUAAAAUGACUGAAAGUAGUUUAGCAAUGGUUGCUGUCCAUUAUUAAUUCAGAUAAAGUUACAAGAUUUGAGGCUAAGAUGGAAAAGAUUUAAGAUUUUGUGAAGUCAGGAUCUAAUUUAGCUUUGAGUUUGGCUACUACUCAAGCCAAAGCUUUGAAGCUUUUCUACAUGGUGAAACAACAUUGUGAUGUAGGAUCAAAGGCUGAAAAGUUCAAUGCAAAUAAGGCUUGGUUCAUGCAUUUUAAAGGUAGUGAUGCCUUAUAUAACAUCAGGGUGCAAGAUGAAGCAGCAGGUGCUGAGGUGGCAGUUCCAGAGAGCAGAAAGACUUUGUUUCUUGAAGGCAGUAAAAGGACUGACACUUUGUCCCCUAAGGCCCAUCCUAGCCACAGGGACAUUUGUGAUAGUAACAAGAAGGCAACAAAACUGAAAAUUUAUCAAAUUUGAUAAAUUUUCCUGAAAAUUUAUCAAAUGAUCCUGGGUCUCUCAAAAAUAUUCUCAAAAUUGCUUGCGAUCAAGGAAAGAUUUUUUUUCUCAAAUCCUUACUCUGAUUAGAUGUUUUCUUAACUCCCAAUUUGUUAAAGGUAUUCUAAAAUAAAUUUUACCUGAGAUCAUUUCUUUAAGAAGCUGGGCUUCAGGUUCUCAACCAGUAUAACAUGGCUGUGCUAUUGAUUCAAUAUGAAAAAAAAAAAUCAGAAUGGUUUGAUUUAAAUAAUUUUUCUUACAGGAACUUCUAGCAGAAAUAUAACUCUCCAUAAGUGUAAGGAAUAUCUCUAGUGCUGUCAUAUGAAAACUCAAUUAAAAGAUCAAUUUUUUGGAAAUACAUAUUUUCUGGAAAACCUAAUUAUUAAAACAGGUGCCAUGAACCAGAUAUAAUUGUGGAUGUUUAAAGUUCUACAAAUUGAAUGAAUUUGCCUUUGAAAAAUCUGGAUAUUCAACAUGAUUUCAAACAGACUUAUUAAAGAAAAUAUCAAGACGCCCUCUUUAAUACCUUCCCUAUUAUACCUUUCCUAAGAAAUAUCUGUGAGUUACUGAAGUUCUGUCAGCCUUCAAUUUGAUUUUAUUAGCAUUUGUUGCUUUAAAUCAGACCUUUCACAUUAUUUAUACAGGUUUUUUUUAAUUCAAUAUUCAAAAUGAUAGAACAUAUACAUUGAACCACAGAUAGGGACAUAAUUCAUUGCAGUAUGAAACAUGCCUUAUAACACUUAAGUGGUUUAUUAAACUUGUCUGCUCUUAUAUUGGAUAAAUUCUAUCCUUGACAUCAAGAUGUGUGUGUGAAACAUUUAUCAUGUUUAGAAUUCCUCUAAGUUACAUAAACUACUUCAUCAGGGAAUUGCUAAGAGUAUCAUCCAGAAGUUAAAAUACACCAAGUAUCCAAAUAUUUCUCUUAAACAUGAGUUAGACCUAGACUACCACGUAGAAUUAUUUUAGUGGUCUCAGUUCCAUCCCCAGUGGACAGUAGUACAUAGUAAGGAAAACCACCCCACACAAUUUGGCACUGUUUAGAACCCACAGCCUCUGAUCAGGAGGAGCCUCCCCAUGAGCCCAGGGAGACUGAAUGGCCUCUUAUUAGAAGGAGCACAGUCUUUCAGGCUAGGCUGAGGUUGGAAACUAUGGGAGGAUGGUGCUACAGCUCUUGGCUCCCUUUCUGGCUUGGGGAAGGUGGAGGUCUUCUUGGGGCAGAGCUGCCCACUCACAUUGCAAAUGGAGAGCUGGUUAUUGAAGGAGAAUGAAAUGAAAGAGCUUUUUGUCAGCAUAAGGUAAGGAAGUUCAUCAUUUGGGGGAAUACAAAUGCCAAACUUCAUUUCCGUUUAGAUAACACAGACUAGAACUAGAGAAGAAGGAAAUAAAACGCUGUAGCCCAGAAAGCUGGAACUCGGUUUAGUUAGAAUAUUGAUAAACAUGUGACUAGUUUAUCAUGUAUCGUCUAUGGACUCCUACAGAGGUGUUACACUUACUUAGAAGAAACACACACAUGCUUCAUUUUAAUAAAACAAAGAGCUAGGUAGUUGCUACAGAGGAGCUAAAGCUUUUGCCUGAGAUUAUUAAUAAGAAAAAAAGAUUUUCUACUGGGAAAUAGGAUAGUAAAACAGAAAGAUAUGCGACCUGUCGGAUUUGGAACCAAUCACACCUGGGUUUGAACUCCAGACUUUGGGCAAGAAACCUGAAUCUCAGAUUCCUUGAUUGUAACAUGGGGUCAAUGUUACCCAGCUCAAAGGGCUUCUGUGAGAUGAAGUAAGUGAAUGCAUAGGGCCUGACACAGUGCCUGACACAGAGAAAUUAAUUGAAAUAUUAGGUCCAUUCUCUAUACCAGGGCUCAAAUUCAGGGCAUUGGUAAAUUGAAACAGAAAGACUAAUAUGUUAAUAUUUUCACUAAUCUCUAACUGAAAAGUCACAUUUCUUAAAUAAUACAGGUAAGCAAUAUUAGCAUAUGCAGUAGCUGUGAUGUUGACACUAAGAGAAAUCACAGAUAUUUUCAUAACACAACACAGCUAGUAUAGAUAUUUUAAAAAUAUUGUUUAUACUCAUCACUAUUUUGAAAUUAUGGUAGUUAUUAGACCUGCUGCUAGAUCUUGUUAUUCAAUGCAUUAGUGAGAAAGCACAUUACUGUACAAAAUUGUUUUUUAACAUUUUGAUGGCUAUAUUUUUGUAAUUGAUUUCCUUUGCAAUAUUAUGUAUUUUUAAAAUUCUUCAUAAACAUGCUUUAAACGGGAAUUGAAAACAUUGAGAAGACUAGAGACUUCAACAAACUGCCAAAUGGGUUUGCUCUACCCUCUGCGAGUGGUGUUAUAUUCAGCUAUUACGAAAUGGAUGAAGGUCCUAUUGAUUGGGACUGUGAAUAGAUGGGACCAUUUUUCAGAUGGGUCUAAUUUGGGCUGUUUUCUGCAAAUAUGAUCAAUUUCGGACUUGCAGGUGAUUUUGGUUCAUAUUCAGCUGUUGCUCACUUAAUGAGAUUUUUACUUGAAAUGUGGAAUGAAAGAGAACACUUUAACAUUUUAUCUUUUCUUGAUCUCAAAAAGUAAUAUGAAAAACAAGGAGAUGUGUCCAGAUCCCUGAAAGUCAUUUUCAUAUGCACAUGCCCCAAGGAUCUUAGAGAGUCAUUAGGAUUUUAUGACACUAAGUUAUUGGCUUUAUUUGUGGCAAAGGUACUGUGAAAUCAGAUAAGAAUCGGCGGCUUCUAAAUCUUGUCUCCCUGCAGUUAAAAAUAAAAACAGAUUCAACCAUCA